AGCUGAAGGCAGUCAUGUGACAUCAUGGAGGAGAGGACAUGGGGGAGGAAUGUUAGCACCAGGGGGUCAGGUGGACAGUGGGCCAGGAGGCCAGAGCUCAGGGGUCAGGUGGACAGUGGGCCAGGAGGCCAGAGCUCAGGGGUCAGGUGGACAGUGGGUCAGGUGGACAGUGGGCCAGGGGUCAGGUGGAC